rnacentral:rRNA from 1 species
GUGUACAGGCAUAUCACCCUGAAUCCGCCCGAUCUCCUCUGAUCACCAAAGCUAAGCAGGGUGGGGCCUGGUUAGUACUUGGCUGGGAGACCGCCUGGGAAUACCGGGUGCUGUAGGCU